CGGCGUCGGGUUCAACAUUUAGGUACAGUCUUUUGUUAAAGUUUGUUUGAUACAUCAGUAACUUUGUCAGCCCUUCAUAUAAUUUCAUGAAAUUGGACAUGCAGAAGGUUGUUUAUGACCAAAAGACAGAGUGAAUGUUUGAAAAUAUUUUUUUUCAUUUUCCGUUUUUUACUGGUAAACAGACUUUUCUUUUUUUACAAUUAACAAGUAGAUACAGU
rnacentral:lncRNA from 1 species